rnacentral:ncRNA from 2 species
GGGCUCCUGGUGCCCGACGGUUCCUCCCCGGAGGAUCAAAAGGGAACGCGGUGAGGGUUUUGGCCCGAAGCCGCGGCUGCCCCCGCAACUGUAAGCGGCGAGCCCUUCGCCACCGACGUCACUGAGCGGCCUCGCUCGGGAAGACGGUGAAGGGCGAUGACCCGCGAGCCAGGAGACCUGCCGUCAGUCGUGGUCACAC